AUUGAACGCUGGCGGCAGGCCUAACACAUGCAAGUCGAGCGGAGCGGCGGACGGGUGAUUAAUGCCUAGGAAUCUGCCUGUUAGUGGGGGAUAACGUCCGGGAACGUGCGCUAAUACCGCAUACUAUCAGAUGAGCCUAGGUCGGAUUAGCUAGUUGGUGGGGUAACGGCCUACCAAGGCGACGAUCCGUAACUGGUCUGAGAGGAUGAUCAGUCACACUGGAACUGAGACACGGUCCAGACUCCUACGGGAGGCAGCAGUGGGGAAUAUUGGACAAUGGGCGAAAGCCUGAUCGAGCCAUGCCGCGUGUGUGAAGAAGGUCUUCGGAUUGUAAAGCACUUUAAGUUGGGAGGCGUUACCUACAGAAUAAGCACCGGCUAACUUCGUGCCAGCAGCCGCGGUAAUUC
rnacentral:rRNA from 1 species